CCACACCUGCACUUCAGCAAAGUCUAAUAUAACACCACCUCCAUCAUUAUCAGUCUCUGUGUAGACAGUCAGGUAGCCAGGUCCCAGAACAGUUCACAUUCAGUACAUCAGGGAUGUCUGUACCGUCAGGACGCCCUGUUACAGUGUGGCAUAGAUUUCCUUCUGUGGGUUCAGAUGAAAUUGUCCUUGAUGUGUACAGGUGCACACCAUUACGUCUAUACUUGAGUUUGUUCA